rnacentral:lncRNA from 1 species
AAGUGCCCAGGCAGUGUUCACUUAGCUCCUGUUGGAAGAGGUUGCCUCUAGUGAAAACAUAGUAGUAGUGAUAGUCAUUCUCUGACUCCUGUGAUGGCCCUCUGACUUACAUGCUAUUAACAUUCCCUUUAUGAAUGAAAAAACUGAGGCACAGGGAAACUUAGUUUAUUUCCAUGACUAUAUAUUAUGGCUUGUGGCAUGCAUUUCCAAGUGUCCUAAUGCUGGAGGAAUAGUUGUGACCUUGUUCUUCAGGCAUUAUUGUGGUGGGCAGGUGGAGAAGGAAUCAGGACUCUGAUACUUCCCAGAGAAGAACCAAAUAGUCCAUAGAUCCAGUGACAUCUCUGCUGAGGUGAAUGCAAGGGGUGUGAGACGGUGCUCAGAUAACCACAGAGAAUGUUUUGGGCAGGGCAAAAAAUAAUGAAGCCAUUUCUGAGGAUCUGAGAGGAAGUGGAUUUCUGGGACAAUGGAGUAGAGCAGGAGAGGUAGGAAUGGCCACAGGGCGGCAAAGAGCCUGACUCCUUAGUGAUUCUGGAAUAAUUUGGAGACACUGGGAGUGUUGGAGGAAUUAGACAGUUUCUCACUUGGUAAAGGUACUCUAUGAGGUUACAGUACCGAGAACUGAGUUGUGAGAGGUGAGGAGUGUUACUAAGGGCAUUCAGGUUGGGGCACCUGCUGUUCAUGGAGAAACUUCGGGGCCUGGAAUCACAGCCAGUGAUCUACAUGAACAGGGACAGCUACACAUUCAGUCGAGACUUGCUUGAAUAUUAAGGCUCCCAAGAACACCCAUUGAGCAGUGGCCAUGAGGUCAUCAGAGAAUUGAAGCCCUGUGGGCCACACUCAGGACCCCAGUCCCCAGUAUUCUGUGAGCGCUGAAGUACCCUACCCUGAUGGCCAUGAUAUGAGAGAAGAAGACUCAUCUAUUGAAACAAUCAAAUGUCCCAGCAGACUUCCCAAUGUGUCUGUUAGGCAUCAUCCUGAGACUGGGACACCAUUUCCAUUCAAUGAGCACUGACUAGUUCCAGCUCUAUCCCUCCAUCCAUCCUGGAUCCAUCUCAGGUGUCUAAAGAGCCUGGUGCUGAAUGCAUCUCCCUCUGCUGCUGUGCUGGUUCUGAAACUUGUGACCACAUCUGAGUCCAUCUCUUCUGCAAUCUAGGACCUAAAUAUCAGGGAUUACUUUUCCUCAUUUCCUCAUUCCCUGAGUAUUGAGAGUUUCUACUUUCUUCUCCAUCAACUGUGGCCUUGGUGAUGGACCCUCUAUAAGGAGAGACCCAGUGUCUGAUAAAGAUAAGAGAUUGUCGGGAGGGAAGAUACGCGGCUGAAAACACUGCCAUUGAGUGUGGUUGAAUACCAAGGAACUUCCUGCCUGGCCCGGUGUUUUCUACAUAGUCAAUAUCCAUUUCAUUCUAAUUCAGGAGUGGGAACCUCCAAUCUCAGACAGGGUAGUGGCAGGGCACAGAGUAGGACUCUGGUGUGGCUUUAAGUUCUGAGGGUCUCUGGUUGUUCUAGUUCUCUACUUGUACUGGAAUGCUGAUGAUAAACAUCCUAAAAACUUUCAUGCUCUUUCUGAGACUAAAAGGCUGCUGUCUUGGGUGAUUGAUACUUGUAGCCUAAGAGUGGAGGAUUAAAUAAUGUUGCCUUUGUACUACCUCAGGAGGAACUGAGGGGCUCUAAAUUUCAGCCUGCUAGUCAGAAGUCUCAGGAAGAAAAAGGGACACUUUGAAAAGUGAGUAUAUACCUGUCUCUUGAGAGGCUCUGCCAAAUCAUGACAAAGCAGAGGUGGACCCUCACAGUCAACAACUGAACUAAGAACAGGGUCCCCAUUGGAGGAGUUAGAGAAA